UAUAAUCAGGCUUGCAAGCAUGCUCAAUCAUGGCGUCCAUCAAUCUAAAGGCAUCUUCCAACAAAUUGUUCUCUUUAAGGCCUUUAAACAUUGCAUUAUAUGUGUCGGAAUAAGGCUUCACCCCUUUUGCUUUCAUGUCAUCCACCAGAAAGAGUGCACCAUUGAUGUCAUUGUUGUUGCAGAGAGAUUCUAUACGAAUGUUGUAUGUUAUGGUGUUUGGAGGAAUCUUUGAUGUGGAACUCAUGUCAUUGAAGAGCUUCAUUGCUUCCUUAAUAUUUUCAUUUGAGCAGUAUGCGUGAAUUAGAUCUCCGUAUGUGGCGAUAGUAGGGACAUGACCUUCGUUAAUCAUCCAUUCCAUUGCUUCGCGAGCAAGUCCGAAAUUCCCAUUUUGACAAAAAUAAGCAAUCAAACUGUUAUAUGAGACACUAUUAGGCUUCACUCCUGCUUCUUCCAUUUCCUUGAUGAUGUCAUACGCUUUAUCAACCAUGUUUUUCUUGCAGAACCCUCUAACAAGCGAAUUGUAGCAUACAAUGUCAGGGCGGAACCCAACUUUUUUCAGCUUCGACAAAACAUUGCUGGC
rnacentral:lncRNA from 1 species